AUUGAACGCUGGCGGCAGGCCUAACACAUGCAAGUCGAGCGGCAGCGGGAAAGUAGCUUGCUACUUUUGCCGGCGAGCGGCGGACGGGUGAGUAAUGCCUGGGAAAUUGCCCAGUCGAGGGGGAUAACAGUUGGAAACGACUGCUAAUACCGCAUACGCCCUACGGGGGAAAGCAGGGGACCUUCGGGCCUUGCGCGAUUGGAUAUGCCCAGGUGGGAUUAGCUAGUUGGUGAGGUAAUGGCUCACCAAGGCGACGAUCCCUAGCUGGUAUGAGAGGAUGAUCAGCCACACUGGAACUGAGACACGGUCCAGACUCCUACGGGAGGCAGCAGUGGGGAAUAUUGCACAAUGGGGGAAACCCUGAUGCAGCCAUGCCGCGUGUGCGAAGAAGGCCUUCGGGUUGUAAAGCACUUUCAGCGAGGAGGAAAGGUUGGUGCCUAAUACGUAUCAACCGUGACGUUACUCGCAGAAGAAGCACCGGCUAACUCCGUGCCAGCCGCCGCCGUAAGAC
rnacentral:rRNA from 1 species